GAUUCAAAUUUACGUCAACGUCCGUUACGUUGGUGACGUCACCACGAGCGCGAGAAGUCGAACUGAGGAGUAGAAACCGUUGUUAAUGUUAAUUCUGGCCCGUUUGGACCCAAACUAAAGUGUAUCAGUAUGAAGCAGGCGGAGACGGCGCACUGAUUCACUCUCAGAGCUCGAUUCACUAAUGACCGAAUCACCGAGGAACCGACCAAAGAUAACUCACACCCUCACGGAGAAGAAGAACAAGAGGAGGAGAAGAUGAGCUGGAGUGGGGCAAAGAGAACUGCAUUCAGAUCAAACGGAUACAAGAGGUGGCCGAGUUGUUUGAGGAUCUGAAGAAUUGAGUGUCACAAUUCAACAUGCACAUCAGCGAAACUUCUCCCUCUGACUACACCAGCACGCACACACAGAAAUUCAUAGUGCAGGUGGCGAUUGCAGGCGCAUUUUAUCCGAACUGCUUCCUCCAGGGAACUGUGGACGAGGAGCUCGCCUCCAAGGAACUCUAUGGAAACGACCCCAGGACCACCAUAGUGGUAUUCAGUCAGCUUCCAUUUAAC